rnacentral:ribozyme from 1 species
AUGACAGUUUUUUUUUUUUUUUUUUUUUUUUCACUUCACUGUUGUCAGAUUUUAUCUUGUUACUGGUACGCUGAUGAAAACCGGA